rnacentral:rRNA from 1 species
CAUUAUCGAAUUACCGGCGAGGGUUGUUGCUGGCCUCCAGGGGCAUGUGCACACCCGAGCCUUUAAUCCAACACACCUGUGAACUUAAUGUAGGCCUUAGGGCCUAUGUCUUUCAUCAACCCUUUGCAUGUCUAAUAGAAUGUAAAUCAUUUGUUGCCAUAAAAAGCAAUCAAUACAACUUUCAACAACGGAUCUCUUGGCUCUCGCAUCGAUGAAGAACGCAGCGAAAUGCGAUAAGUAAUGUGAAUUGCAGAUUUUCAGUGAAUCAUCGAAUCUUUGAACGCACCUUGCGCUCCUUGGUAUUCCGAGGAGCAUGCCCGUUUGAGUGUCAUUAAAUUCUCAACCUCAUCUGAUUUGUUUCGGAUCGAGGCUUGGACUUGGGGUGUGCUGGCGAGAGUCGGCUCCCCUUUAAAUGCAUCAGCGGAAUUCAAGCCCUUGCUGUCAUCAGUGUGAUAAUCAUGUUGCGCUGUUACCAGGCUAGGGGUCCGCUUACAGCCGUCUUCGGACAACUCUGAAACAUUUGACCUCAAAUCAGGUAGGACUACCCGCUGAACUUAAGCAUAUCAAUAAGCGGAGGAAAAGAAACUAACAAGGAUUCCCCUAGUAACUGCGAGUGAAGCGGGAAAAGCUCAAAUUUAAAAUCUGGCGGUCUCCGGCCGUCCGAGUUGUAAUCUGGAGAAGCGUUUUCCGCGUUGGACCGUGUACAAGUUUUCUGGAACGGAACGUCAUAGAGGGUGAGAAUCCCGUCUUUGACACGGACUACCAAUGCUUUUGUGAUACGCUCUCGAAGAGUCGAGUUGUUUGGGAAUGCAGCUCAGAAUGGGUGGUAAAUUCCAUCUAAAGCUAAAUAUUGGCGAGAGACCGAUAGCGAACAAGUACCGUGAGGGAAAGAUGAAAAGCACUUUGGAAAGAGAGUUAAACAGUACGUGAAAUUGUUGAAAGGGAAACGUUUGAAGUCAGUCGCGUCGGUCGAGACUCAACCAGGCUUGCCUGGCGUAUUUCUUGAUCGACGGGUCAGCAUCAGUUUUGACCGCUGGAUAAAGGCUGAGGGA